rnacentral:rRNA from 1 species
AACGAACGCUGGCGGCAUGCCUAACACAUGCAAGUCGAACGAGACCUUCGGGUCUAGUGGCGCACGGGUGCGUAACGCGUGGGAACCUGCCCUUAGGUUCGGAAUAACUCCCCGAAAGGGGUGCUAAUACCGGAUAAUGUCUUCGGACCAAAGAUUUAUCGCCUUUGGAUGGGCCCGCGUUGGAUUAGCUAGUUGGUAGGGUAAAAGCCUACCAAGGCGACGAUCCAUAGCUGGUCUGAGAGGAUGAUCAGCCACACUGGGACUGAGACACGGCCCAGACUCCUGCGGGAGGCAGCAGUGGGGAAUAUUGGACAGUGGGCGAAGGCCUGAUCCAGCAAUGCCGCGUGAGUGAUGAAGGCUUUAGGGUUGUAAAGCUCUUUUACCCGGGAUGAUAAUGACAGUACCGGGAGAAUAAGCUCCGGCUAACUCCGUG